rnacentral:rRNA from 2 species
UUAGGAAUAUUCGUCAAUGGGGGAAACCCUGAACGAGCAAUGCCGCGUGAGUGAUGACAGUUCUCUGAAUUGUAAAGCUCUGUUGUAUGGGAAGAACAGUCGAAUUAGGAAAUGAAUUCGAUCUGACGGUACCAUGCCAGAAAGCUCCGGCAAACUACGUGCCAGCAGCCGCGGUAAUACGUAGGGAGCGAGCGUUAUCCGGAUUUAUUGGGUGUAAAGGGUGUGUAGGCGGUUUAUUAAGUAUAAGAUUAAAGCCUGGGGCUUAACUCCAGUUCGUUUUAUAAACUGAUAGACUUGAGUAUGGUAGAGGUAAAUGGAAUUUCUAGUGUAGCGGUAAAAUGUGUAGAUAUUAGAAGGAACAUCAGUGGCGAAGGCGAUUUACUGGGCCAUUACUGACGCUGAGACACGAAAGCGUGGGGAGCAAAUAGG